CUCAGGAUCUGAGACAGUACUGCCACAUGUCUGCCAGAGAGUGGGGAAGAGAAGGGAACGGCUCCAUCCCCUACCAAUUAGUGAAGAUCCGUUAGGCAGAGUAUCUCUCGACAUUAUAGUUGCGCAGGCAUUUUGGUGACUCUAGAGAACCUCGGGCCAAUCGCACGUCCCCGUGACAGCGACAACGCAUUCGGAUGUCUGCCCUAUCAACUUUCGAUAGACUUUCUGCGCCUACCAUGGUGACCAUGGGUAACGGGGAAUCAGGGUUCGAUUCCGGAG